rnacentral:rRNA from 1 species
GAUGAACGCUGGCGGCGUGCUUAACACAUGCAAGUCGAACGAAGCAUUUGCGACAGAUUUUUUCGGAAUGAGGUUGCUUAUGACUGAGUGGCGGACGGGUGAGUAACGCGUGGGUAACCUGCCUUGUACUGGGGGAUAGCAGCUGGAAACGGCUGGUAAUACCGCAUAAGCGCACAAUGUUGCAUGACAUGGUGUGAAAAACUCCGGUGGUAUAAGAUGGACCCGCGUCUGAUUAGCUAGUUGGUGAGAUAACAGCCCACCAAGGCGACGAUCAGUAGCCGACCUGAGAGGGUGACCGGCCACAUUGGGACUGAGACACGGCCCAGACUCCUACGGGAGGCAGCAGUGGGGAAUAUUGCACAAUGGAGGAAACUCUGAUGCAGCGACGCCGCGUGAGUGAAGAAGUAAUUCGUUAUGUAAAGCUCUAUCAGCAGGGAAGAUAGUGACGGUACCUGACUAAGAAGCACCGGCUAAAUACGUG